rnacentral:rRNA from 1 species
UCGGACGGGAUCCAUCGGAGAGCUUGCUCGAAGAUGGUGAGAGUGGCGCACGGGUGCGUAACGCGUGAGCAACCUACCUCUAUCAGGGGGAUAGCCUCUCGAAAGAGAGAUUAACACCGCAUAACAUCAACAGUUCGCAUGUUCGGUUGAUUAAAUAUUUAUAGGAUAGAGAUGGGCUCGCGUGACAUUAGCUAGUUGGUAGGGUAACGGCUUACCAAGGCGACGAUGUCUAGGGGCUCUGAGAGGAGAAUCCCCCACACUGGUACUGAGACACGGACCAGACUCCUACGGGAGGCAGCAGUAAGGAAUAUUGGUCAAUGGGCGGAAGCCUGAACCAGCCAUGCCGCGUGCAGGAUGACUGCCCUAUGGGUUGUAAACUGCUUUUGUCCAGGAAUAAGCCUCUUUACGAGUAGAGAGCUGAAUGUACUGGAAGAAUAAGGAUCGGCUAACUCCGUG